UACGAAGGGGGCUAGCGUUGCUCGGAAUCACUGGGCGUAAAGGGUGCGUAGGCGGGUCUUUAAGUCAGGGGUGAAAUCCUGGAGCUCAACUCCAGAACUGCCUUUGAUACUGAGGAUCUUGAGUUCGGGAGAGGUGAGUGGAACUGCGAGUGUAGAGGUGAAAUUCGUAGAUAUUCGCAAGAACACCAGUGGCGAAGGCGGCUCACUGGCCCGAUUCUGACGCUGAGGCACGAAAGCGUGGGGAGCAAACAGG
rnacentral:rRNA from 1 species